CAGUAGCCGCGGGAAUACGUAGGUGGCAAGCGUUAUCCGGAAUUAUUGGGCGUAAAGCGCGCGUAGGCGGUUUUUUAAGUCUGAUGUGAAAGCCCACGGCUCAACCGUGGAGGGUCAUUGGAAACUGGAAAACUUGAGUGCAGAAGAGGAAAGUGGAAUUCCAUGUGUAGCGGUGAAAUGCGCAGAGAUAUGGAGGAACACCAGUGGCGAAGGCGACUUUCUGGUCUGUAACUGACGCUGAUGUGCGAAAGCGUGGGGAUCAAACAGGAUUAGAUACCCCCGUAGUCCCUGUCUCUUAUAA
rnacentral:rRNA from 1 species